rnacentral:rRNA from 1 species
GACGGAAGGUGCAAGCGUUGCUCGGAAUCAUUGGGCGUAAAGGGUGCGUAGGCGGCUUGGUGGGUCUGGUGUGAAAGCCCCGGGCUUAGCCCGGGAAGGGCGCUAGAAACUGCCGAGCUCGAGUGCCGGAGGGGAGAGUGGAAUUCCUGGUGUAGCGGUGAAAUGCGUAGAGAUCAGGAGGAAUACCGGUGGCGAAAGCGACUCUCUGGACGGCAACUGACGCUGAGGCACGAAAGCGUGGGGAGCAAACAGG